rnacentral:rRNA from 1 species
AUUGAACGCUGGCGGAAUGCUUUACACAUGCAAGUCGAGCGGCAGCGCGGGGGCAACCCUGGCGGCGAGCGGCGAACGGGUGAGUAAUACAUCGGAACGUGUCCUUAAGUGGGGGAUAGCUCGGCGAAAGCCGGAUUAAUACCGCAUAAGCUCUGAGGAGGAAAGCGGGGGCUCCGUAAGGACCUCGCGCUGUUGGAGCGGCCGAUGUCGGAUUAGCUAGUUGGUGGGGUAAAGGCCCACCAAGGCGACGAUCCGUAGCUGGUCUGAGAGGAUGAUCAGCCACACUGGAACUGAGACACGGUCCAGACUCCUACGGGAGCAGCAGUGGGGAA